rnacentral:rRNA from 1 species
AUGAACGCUGGCGGCGUGCCUAAUACAUGCAAGUCGAGCGAACAGAUGAGGAGCUUGCUCCUCUGACGUUAGCGGCGGACGGGUGAGUAACACGUGGAUAACCUACCUAUAAGACUGGGAUAACUUCGGGAAACCGGAGCUAAUACCGGAUAAUAUAUUGAACCGCAUGGUUCAAUAGUGAAAGACGGUUUUGCUGUCACUUAUAGAUGGAUCCGCGCCGCAUUAGCUAGUUGGUAAGGUAACGGCUUACCAAGGCAACGAUGCGUAGCCGACCUGAGAGGGUGAUCGGCCACACUGGAACUGAGACUCGGUCCAGACUCCUACGGGAGGCAGCAGUAGGGAAUCUUCCGCAAUGGGCGAAAGCCUGACGGAGCAACGCCGCGUGAGUGAUGAAGGUCUUCGGAUCGUAAAACUCUGUUAUUAGGGAAGAACAAAUGUGUAAGUAACUAUGCACGUCUUGACGGUACCUAAUCAGAAAGCCACGGCUAACUACGUG